ACACUUACAGAUGGGCCCGCGGCGCAUUAGCUAGUUGGUGAGGUAACGGCUCACCAAGGCGACGAUGCGUAGCCGACCUGAGAGGGUGAUCGGCCACACUGGGACUGAGACACGGCCCAG
rnacentral:rRNA from 1 species